GAUGAAGAACGUAGCGAAAUGCGAUAAGUAAUGUGAAUUGCAGAAUUCAGUGAAUCAUCGAAUCUUUGAACGCACAUUGCGCCCGGCAGUACUCUGCCGGGCAUGCCUGUUCGAGCGUCAUUUCAACCCUCAAGCCCUGCUUGGUGUUGGGGUCCCACGGCCGCCGUGGGCCCUGAAAGGAAGUGGCGGGCUCGCUACAACUCCGAGCGUAGUAAUUCAUUAUCUCGCUUAGGGCGUUGGGCGGCGCUCCUGCCGUUAAAGAACCAUCUUUAACUCAAGGUUGACCUCGGAUCAGGUAGGAAUACCCGAUGAACUUAAGCAUAUCAAUAAGCGGAGGA
rnacentral:misc_RNA from 1 species